UGGGGAAUUUUGCGCAAUGGGCGAAAGCCUGACGCAGCAACGCCGCGUGGAGGAUGAAGGCCUUCGGGUCGUAAACUCCUGUCGAUGGGGACGAAAGCCUAGCAAUAGGUUUGACUGUACCCGUUGAGGAAGCCACGGCUAACUCCGUGCCAGCAGCCGCGGUAAUACGGGGGUGGCAAGCGUUGUUCGGAAUUACUGGGCGUAAAGGGCGCGUAGGCGGCGAAACAAGUCAGAUGUGAAAGCCCCGGGCUUAACUCGGGAAUUGCAUCUGAAACUGUAUUGCUUGAGUCCUGGAGGGGGUAGUGGAAUUCCCAGUGUAGCGGUGAAAUGCGUAGAUAUUGGGAGGAACACCUGCGGCGAAGGCGGCUACCUGGACAGUGACUGACGCUGAGGCGCGAAAGCUAGGGGAGCGAACG
rnacentral:rRNA from 1 species